rnacentral:rRNA from 1 species
AGGCAACCUGCCCUGAAGCGGGGGAUAACAUCUGGAAACAGGUGCUAAUACCGCAUAACAACGAAAACCACAUGGUUUUCGUUUCAAAGAUGGUUUCGGCUAUCACUUCAGGAUGGGCCCGCGGUGCAUUAGCUAGUUGGUAAGGUAACGGCUUACCAAGGCGAUGAUGCAUAGCCAGUUGAGAGACUGAUCGGCCACAAUGGAACUGAGACACGGUCCAUACUCCUACGGGAGGCAGCAGUA